AUUGAACGCUGGCGGCAGGCCUAACACAUGCUAGUCGAACGAGUGGCGGACGGGUGAGUAAUGUCUGGGCAACUGCCUGAUGGAGGGGGAUAACUACUGGAUACGGCAGCUAAUACCGCAUACCAUCGGAUGUGCCCAGAUGGGAUUAGCUUGUAGGGGAGGUAACGGCCCACCUAGGCGACGCUCCCUAGCUGGUCUGAGAGGAUGACCAGCCACACUGGAACUGGGACACGGUCCAGAAUCCUACGGGAGGCAGCAGUGGGGAAUAUUGCACAAUGGGCGCAAGCCUGAUGCAGCCAUGCCGCGUGUAUGAAGAAAGCCUGCGGGUUUUAAAGUACUUUCAGCGGGGAGGCGUUACCCACAGAAGAAGCACCGGCUAACUCCGAGCCAGCAGCCGCGGUAAUUC
rnacentral:rRNA from 1 species